CCGGACGGCCCCGGGGAAAGAGAGGGUGGGGCGCAGAGAGCCCGCGCGCGGGAGUCCUCAGUUACCCCGGGCGGGGGAGGGGACCGUCCGCCUCUACGCAUGCGCCCCCAGCUUCCGCGGGAGGGAGGGGGCGGAAAAAGGAGGAGGAAGAGGGGCGGGCAAACUUGGAACCAACCAAUGAUAGCGGCGCUAGCCGGGAUCUUGGCCCUCACAGAACUGGGGGAGGAAUCGCGCGGGGCCUGAAGGGAGGGGUUCGGGCGCGGGAGCCGGGGCGGAGAAGACGGAAGUGGAGCGAGGACAAAAUGGCUACGAAGAAUCGCCUCAGGACGCGGUCGUGUCUGGACCUCUCCGCGGAAUAAAAAGGCGAACCCGCUUCUCUGAGCCCCGACCCUUAGGCCCCUUCCCACCUCCGUCUAGAACAGAUUCGGCUUCUUGGCUCAGUCCUUCCCCAACUAGCCCAAGCCCUACAUUUCCCCGUUGUUUAUAAAAUAAACAGAUUUAGAAGGUG